rnacentral:rRNA from 1 species
GACGAACGCUGGCGGCGUGCUUAACACAUGCAAGUCGAACGGGCUCUGUCUGGCUGUGUGCUGGGUGGGGUUCGUGGCGAACGGGUGAGUAAUACGUGAGUAACCUGCCCUCUUCUUUGGGAUAAGCCUUGGAAACGGGGUCUAAUACUGGAUAUUCCUGUCUGGUCGCAUGGCUGGGUGGGGAAAGUUUUUUUCGGUGGGGGAUGGGCUCGCGGCCUAUCAGCUUGUUGGUGGGGUGAUGGCCUACCAAGGCGUCGACGGGUAGCCGGCCUGAGAGGGUGGCCGGGCCAACUGGGACUGGGGUACGGGCCCGAAUUCUACGGGAGGGAGGAGGGGGGGGUAUUGGACAAUGGGGGCAAGGCCGAUGCCGCGGCGCCGCGUGGGGGAUGACGGCUUUCGGGUUGUAAACCUCUUUCGUCGGGGGACAAGGCUCUGCUUGGUGGUGGGGUUGAGGGUACCCGGUGAAGAAGCGCCGGCUAACUACGUG